CACGUAGGGCGCGAGCGUUGUCCGGAAUUAUUGGGCGUAAAGAGCUCGUAGGCGGCCUGUUGCGUCCGCUGUGAAAGCCCGGGGCUUAACCCCGGGUCUGCAGUGGAUACGGGCAGGCUAGAGGUAGGUAGGGGAGAAUGGAAUUCCCGGUGUAGCGGUGAAAUGCGCAGAUAUCGGGAGGAACACCGGUGGCGAAGGCGGUUCUCUGGACAGUUCCUGACGCUGAGGCACGAAGGUCAGGGGAGCAAACGGG
rnacentral:rRNA from 1 species